rnacentral:RNase_P_RNA from 1 species
GAGGAAAGUCCGGUCUCUAUAUAGAUAUAAGUAGUUGUAUAGCAAACAGUGUAGGUAACUAUGAGGAGAGUGCCACAGAAAUAUACCGCCUAUGUUAAAUCUACAUGGUAAGGAUGCAAAGGUAAGGUAAGAGCUUACCAGGAAUAUUGUUAAGAUAUUUGCUAGGUAAACCCCUAUUAAUGAGCAAAGUGAUACUAUAAUUAGUAGCUAUGUUUUCUAUCAUUUUUACAAUAUAUUAUUCUUUAUCUUUACUGCAUGAAGUUUUUGAAAAACUCUAGAUUAAUAACUACCCUUUAAUAUAUAGAUUUUUAUUAUAUUAAAGAACAGAAUCCGGCUUAU